UUCCCCUUUCUUGGUUUCCUCCCAUAUUUUAGUUGAGAAGAACACCAUACAGGAGUUGAUCAAGAAAGGGGACAUAGGAAGCAAAGUUUUGGAGAUCCUACAUGUCUGAUGAUGAUUUAAUUUUAUCCUCACACAUGAUUUCUAGUUUACCCAGGUCUAGAUUCUAAGAUGAAAGCCAGAUUGCUGCAGAAUUUUUUACAAGCAUUGCUCCUGUUCUCAGGGCAUCCAGUGUUCCUGCUGAGAAAUCUGAUGGUCUUGUUUUAUAGCCCAGGCUGAGUGUAGUGGUGCAAUCACGGCUCACUGCAGCCUCAACUCCCUGAACUCAAGUGAUCCUCCUGCCCCAGCCUCUUUGAGUAGCUAGGAUUACAGGCAGAUAGAGUGAAACUGCUUACCUUAAUCCAAUCAGGGACUGAGAUAAGUCAAAGCUAGAUUACAGUUUUGGUAAGUUCUUUCUACCUGAUUUAUUUUAAAACAUUUUUUAUUUUUUGUUAAUUGAUGAGUAAAUAUUGUAUUUUUUACUUGUUAUUAACAAAAUAAACAAAAUAAAACAAAAGUUGUACAACAUGAUGUUUUGAUAUAGGUAUACAUUGUGGAAAGGCUAAAUUUUCUCACAUACUUACCAUUUUAUUUUGGUGAAUGCAUUUAAAAUCGACUCUCUUAGCAAUUUUCUAGUAUACUUUGUGUUGUUAUUAGCUAUAGUUACUCACCAUGUUUACAAUAGCUCUCUUGAACCUAUUCCCCCUGUUUAAGUGAAAUUUUGUAUCCCUUGACCAACAUCUCUCCAAUCCUUCCUCCUCCAUAACCCCAGGUCCUUGAUAACACUGUUCUCUCAAUUUCUAUGCAUUUGACUUUUUAAGGAUUCCACAUAUGAGUAAGAUCACUUAGCAUUCAUUGUUUUGUGCUUGACUUAUCUCCUUAGUGGUAUGUCCUGCAGGUUUAUUCAUGUUGUUACAAAUGUUAGGCUUUCCUUUUUUUUUUUUUUUUAGGCUGAAUAGUAUUCGAUUGUAUAUCUAUAUCACACUAUGCCACAUUUUCUUUAAUCAUUCAUUGAUGAACACUAAGAUUUAAAAAUUUUUAUUUAUUUAUUUAUUUUUUCUCUAUUAGCAAGCUUUUUUUUUUAAACUUUUAAGUUCAGGGAUAUAUGUGCAGGAUGUGCCGAUUUGUUACAUACGUAAAUGUGGACACUAAGGUUGAUUUUCUAUCUUGGCUACUGUGAAUAAUGUUGCAGUAAACAUGGGAAUGCAGACAUCUUUUUGAUAUACUAAUUUUAUAUCCUUUGGAUAUAUACCCAGAAGUGGAAUUGCUGGAUCAUAUGAUAGGGUAGUAGUACUACUUUCAAUUUCCAAGAAAAUUCCAUCGAAUUUUCCAUAAAUGCUGUACUAAUUUAUAUUCCCACUAACAGUAUAUAAGCGUUCCCCUUUCUCUACAUCCAUAUAAAUACUAUCUCCUGUCUUUUUUAUAAUAGCCACUCUAACAGGUGUGAGGUGACAUCUUAUUAUGGGCAAAGGGUUUUAAGGUUUUUAUGGUUUUAAUUUACAUUUCCCAGUGAUUGGUGAUGUUGAGAAUGUUUUCUUGUAUCUUUUGGCCAUUUGUCUUCAGGUCCUUUGCCCAUUUCUUUAAAAAAAAAAUUAAGUUUGAGACAGGGUCUCACUCUGUCAUCCAGGCUGGAAUACAGUGACACAAUCUCAGCUCACUGCAACCUUUGCCUCCUGAGCUCAAGCGAUCCUCUCACCUUAGCUUCCUGAGUAGCUGGGACCACAGGUGCAUGCCAUAAUGCCUAGCAAUUUAUUUUUAUUUUUUUUAUUUUUAGUAGAGAGGAAGUCUUGCCAUGUUGCCCCAGUUGGUCUUGAACUCCUGAGCUCAAGUGAUCUGCCUGCCUUGACCUCCCAAGUGUUGGGAUUACAGGCAUAAGCCACUGCACCCAGCCCCUUUGCCCAUUUUUUAAUUGAGUUAGUUGUUACCUUGCUAAAGACUUACUUGAGUUCCUUAUAUAUUUUGGAUAUCAACCUUUUAUCAGGUGUAUGGUUUGCAAACAUAUUCUUUCAUUUUGUAGAUUGCCUCUUCACUUUUUGAUUGUUAUCUUUGCUGUAAUAAGCUUUUUAGUUUGAUACAAUCCCAUUUGUUUAUUUUUGCUUUUGUUGCCUAUGCUUUUGGGGUCAUAUACAAAAAGUUCUUGCCAAACAAAUGUCAUAAAGCUUUCCCUCUAUGUUUUCUAAUAGUUUAUAUUUCAGGUCUUACAUUUAAGUUUUUAAUCCAUUUUGAGUUGGUUUUGUGUCUGAUGUGAGAUAAGAGUUUAAUUUCAUCCUUCUGAAUGUGGCUACCUAGUUUUUCUAGCAUCAUUUAUUGAAGAGACUAUACCUUUUCCAUUUGUGUUCUUCGGGAAUCUGUUGAAGAUCCCUAGGUUAUUAUAGAAGAUUCCCAAAUUAUUGCAGUUAUUGACUGUAAAUGUGUGAACUUAUUUCUGGGUUCUCUAUUCUGUUCCAUUGGUCCAUAUGUCUGUUUUUAUGCCAGUACUAUACUGUAUUGAUUACUAUAGCUUUGUAGUAUAUUCUGAAAUAGGGUAGUUGAUGCUUGCAGCUUUGUUUUUGUUGUUCAAGAUUGCUUUUGCUAUUUGGGAUAUUUUGUGUCUCCAUAUUAAUUUUAAAAUUGUAAAAUUUGUGUAAAAAUGUCAUUGGGAUUUUUAUAGCGAUUGCAUUGAAUCAGUAGAUUGCAUUGGGUAGCAUGGACAUUUUAACAAUAUUAAUUAUUCCAAUCCAUGAACAUUGGAUGUCUUUUCUACCUCUGUUUUAAAUCCACUCUUGGGGUGUAGCUCUGCAGAUCUUCCAAUUUGCUAUAUUCACUGAGACUCUUUUCACUGGCAAAUCCUGAACUUUAAUCCCUGCCUUAUCAGUACUUUAAGAGCAUAAAAAUCUACCCUCUCCUCCUUGAAAGAUUUCUUCUUAGCUUUUAACUUCCUGCCCCUUGAUACUUCAGAACUCAUGUCUUAAGGGUAAUACCAGAUGAGUGUUGGCCUUCUUUUUUCAUUUCCCUCUUUUUCACUGUGAUUUUGGACUUUCUGUUUGUUACUUUGUUACAAUUUUUAUCUUCCCAGUAUAAGAAGGCUGCCAAAAUCUUUGCUGGUUUCUCCUCUGUGUGAGAAGUCUGCAUUGCUAACUUCUUGCCCUGCUCUCAGAAUUGGCAAUGCACUAGGGGAAUGCCACUAUAGAAUGUCAGGUCAUUCUCUGCUGUUUCCCUCUUCCUCUCAAUCCAUUAUUUCAACAGUUCUUAUGUGUCUUCAAACAGCUUUAAAAUUUUUCUUAAAAAAUAACCUUUCUAGUUGUUCUUAGCUCUGCUGUAAGCUACUCUGUCAUACUCAGAAGUAGAAGUCUCCAUUUAUGUUAAAGUGAAGGACACUUUUAUUCUCCUUGGAGAAGACAUAGCUCUCCAGCUGGAUGAGUCAUGCGUGUGUGUGUGUGUGUGUGUGUGUGUGCGUGCAUGCACACGCACGUGCGUCUAUGUGUCUGUGUAGGAUCUGGAGUGCAGUACUUUCUAUACAGACAUUUAUAGUUUUCUACUGACAUUCUGUCUAUCAUUCUGUAUUCUGCCUCACCUGAAUCCCUAAGAUUUCCUAGUGUCUUUAAUUCCUGAGAUUUUCUGGGGCUCCUGGGUUUUCUCUGCUGACUUAAGUGUGGACUUACUUCUCUCUGCCAUAUCAGUUGUCAUUUAUCCACUGAUUUCCCUGUUACAAUUUUUUUUUUUAGCCCUUGUGGCCUUUAUCAUUUUUAUCCAUUUCUUUAUUUUUUUUAGUGGGUUUCAGGAGGGAGUACAAUAAUAUUUAACCACAAGUCCAACAUUAAUCCCUUUUCUGAAAACAAUUGAAAUUGUGUUGUUACACUACUUCUUACAUAAGUGAUACUUGAUCAUCAGAAAUGACAUUGUCAAACUGUUAGUCAAAGAAACAGAAUGGAAUGAGACACUAUUUUUCUUUAAUUUGAUCUCUCAGUUCUUAUAGUUUACCAGCUCUUAGAAACUGCAGUGCUAAAGUAUUUGCUUUUUAAUGAAGCUCAAGACAUAUUCCAUACUUUGCAGGGACAUGGAUGAAAGUGGAAGCCAUCAUCCUCAGCAAAGUAACACAGGAGCAGGAAACCAAACACUGCAUGCUGGCACUAACAAGUGGGAGCUGAACAAUGAGAGCACAUGGACACAGGGAGGGGAAAAACACACACUGGGCCUGUCGAGGGUGGAGGGCAAGGGAAAGGAGAACAUUAGGACAGAUACCUGAUGCACGUGGGGCUUAAAACCUACGUGAUGGGUUGAUAGGUGCAGCAAAUUACCAUGGCACAUGUAUACCCAUGCAACCAACCUGCACAUUCUGCAUAUGUAUUCUGGAAUAAAAAUAUAAAUAAAUAAUAAAAAUACAAAGAUAUUCUGACUUGGAAGGCUGCCACAGGAAAUACAGAGAGAAGAGGCUUUCCCCAAAGGACGUAAUAGUCUCUUUUGUAGAAUUGUUUCUUAGUAUAUUUUACUCUAUUCUGUAAUUAUUACAACAUUUUUUUUUCUCCAGGAUCCUAGACUACUAGAGAAUGAUGACAUAUGGCUCUCUAGGUACAUGCUCCAUGUGUCCUAGGAGUAUACAAAGGCCUACCAAGAGGUUUGGAGGAUGCUAUUCAAAUUACUAAUGGCUGCAGUAAGAAUUUGGCUGUGCAUUUUUAAAAAAAUAAUUUUUAAUUUUUUUGUGAAUUUCCUCGUAUUGGCAUAUUAAAAUCUUUAACACUAUUUCUCUUUCACUAUUUAUUCUCCCCAGUACAAAGUGGAAAUUCACUACUUUAUCACUUGGUAGACUAUAUUAUCUGAUAUGGUUUGGCGGUGUCCCCACCCAAAUCUCAUCUUGAAUUGUAGUUCUCAUAGUCCCCAUGUGUCGUGGGAAUGGUUGAGUGGGAGGUAAUCAAAUUAUGGGGGCAGUUACCCUCCCCAGGCUCUUCUUAUAACAGUGAGUGAGUUCUCAUGAAAUCUGAUGGUUUUAUAAGGGGCACUUCCCCAAUUGCUUGGCAUUUCUUCCUGCUGACAUGUGAAGAAGGACGUGUUUGCUUCUCCUUCCACCAUGAUUGUAGGUUCCCAGAGGCCUCCUUAGCCCUGGAUAACUGUGAGUCAAUUAAAUUUCUUUCCUUUAUAAAUUACCCAAUUUCAGGUUUGUCCUUAUAGCAGCAUGAGAAUGGCCUACUGCAUUAUCUUACUGACAUAAUGGAAGGGUCAAAAUUUGGAAACAAGUACUUCAUGUCAAUAGACUCUACUUAUCCUAGAAGCCUCUGUUUACUUUUUUAUUCACACAUAAUUAUUGAGGUCUUAGUUUCUGCAAAGCCUUGUCUUAGGUGCUGAGGAUAUAGCAGCGAAUUAAAUAAAGUUCUUAUUUUUGAAGAGCCUUGCAUUCUACUGAAGGAUGUGGCCAUAAAUAAAUAAAAACAUAUUAUGUUAUUAAUAUGAUGUCACACAUGCUAUAAAGAAAAAGCAGAAUAAAGGAAUAGGGGGCAGGGUGGUACUUUUUAAAAUAGUGUGGUCAAAAUAAACUUCCUAAGGAGUAACUAUGAGAUCCGAACAAAAUACAAAAGGACCCAACACAUAUGCAGUAAAGAAAAUGAAAGCCAAAAAGAAGUCAGUAAUCCACCCAGAUGACUGCUCUGCACUGUUUUCAUUUUCCUCAUUGGAUAUAUAGUGAGUCAUUCUUUUCUUUGUUCAGAUCUCCAAGUUACUUGUACUUGGAAUUAGAAAAAAAUUUUUAACUUGUUUUAUUUGGUAACCUAGAUCUCAGUUCAUCUAGGAUGAUGUUCUUUAAAAAUAUAUAUAGCAGGCCAGAUAUACUGAAUGUACAGAUAUAAUUUAAGUUUGGCAUUAUUGUAUUUACAUUGACAUUUAUUGUACAUAAAUUCAGUGAUGUUUAUGAUGGAAUUUUUGUAGUAAGCAAAAUUUAGUUUCCCUUUACCAUUUUGUCUAUAUGAAGAAGUGUGUUAGACUUGGUAGGAGGUAUCCUUGAAGUCACUUUUAGAAAAAUAUUGGCUCUACUGAGUAGAGGUUGGAUUAGUUUCCUGAAUUUAUGUAAACAUCCAAUGAAAGACCAAUAACUUAAAAUUACAGAGGCCGCUAUGUGGUCUUUUCCAGCAGGCUCAUGGAAAUGCCUACCCUUCUGACCCAGCCACUAGAGGGAUUGUUGUACCACGAAGAAGCAUGUUUCCCCCAGUGCUUUGGGAGUGAUUCUGCUCAGGGCAUUGUCUGGAAAGUAUUCAUCUUCUUUUCUGAAGAAGUGUUGGAGACAGGUCUUCAUCAGCAGCCUGAAAAUGGACUGGUAUCACAUCUUAAGGUAAAAUUGAAUAACUAGUACUUCAAGUCAAGAAACCAAUAUGCAAGGUAAUAAUUUUGAUUGUUUUCUUUUGUUAUAGUGACACAGUUAAACUCUUUGGGUAUUCAACAAUAUAAGGCAAGUAGGGCAGGGGUUCAGGAAGGAGUAUUGCAAAGUCAUGGAGGAGAUUUGGGAAUGUUCAUUCGUGGGACUCAUGAUGAAACAGAUAAUACUGUGAAUUAUCAAGAGACAAAGCAGGAAAAUCAGAAGGUUCUGGCCUUUACUCUUUUUAGGGAUUAAUAUCAGUGUUCUUGGACUGUGAGAAACAUGGGAAUGAGAAGACCUCCCAGAGUAGAAGAGACAGAUGGGCAGUUCUGUUGCUGGCACAGAAGGAUAAACUCAUCUCCUGAGUGAACCUGGGAGAGCUGAAGAGCGUUUCAAGCAUCAAUGACAUGCUGUGUAGUAGAGUGCUCGGGGUCCAGGGAAGUUCCGUACUGGGAUCCUCGGAGCUGUGAACCCUUGGGGCUGCUGUGCGUUCUGGAAUAUUUCACUGAUUUCAGUUAUCUAGUGACAUUCCAUGUCUAUUGGUGAGUAUUGAAGAAGUCAGUCUCUAUAGCAGACAGAUACUCAUGUAAUAUAACCUAUUAGAGAAAGAGAACUGCUAGACCUGAACUUUUAUUUGAGAAAAUUAUGACUCAUUCAGAAAAGUCUUUCAAGCAGAAGUGUGCUAAUGCCAAUGGAAACACUCUGCUCAAAUAUUACCACAUUUCCUUUCCCCCGAUUAUCACAAAAUCCUCUUGUUUACUUUCCUUGGGUGCCACAAUUUAUUUGUCUAACAGGAUCAGAGAUUGUGGCUAUUUCUAAGGAAAAUUUUAUAAUUUUUUUGAGGUAAAGGAAUAAACUGGCAGAGUUUAGCACCUUAAGUCUUUCUUUAGAUUCUGUGAUGUGGUAUUCUUUUCCACAUCAGCAUGAAGGAGCAUAUAAAAUCCACCCCAUUUUAGGAAUAGAAAUUAAUUUGAGUCAGAAGAACAGUAAAAGGUAAUCCACAUGGCAUGCCUUUGUCAAAGAGACAGACAUUUCCAAUGCAAUUCUUAAGGGAGGAAGGUGGUUAUAAUAGAAUAUAACAGCUCUCUGGAGGGAAGAAUACAUUUCCUAUAUGAUGAGGAUGGCUAUGCAUUAUAUCUGCAGCAGUUUUCCCUUGAAUCCAGAUACCAGAUCUGUUAAAAGGAUUUGGGAAAAGACCACUGUGUGGUGAAGGAAGGAGGAUAUAUUGGUUCAGAUUUGCCCAAAAGUACAUUAGAAAACAGAAUAUUAGCAUCCAUUAGGUGUUUGUCAGAUGGUAGCAAUUUCCAGCAACAACAUAAUGGGGACAUAUCAGCAACAGAUCUGAACUGGUUAUCUAGAGAUGAAAGGCUCCCCAGACCCUCGUUUCCUCUUGAAUUCAGCUUUUGAUUGUGUGCUUUGUCCUUUGUAUCUCUUUUCUUUACCAUCUCAUUGGUUCCUUUCUUUUUCUUUUUAGAAUCUCAAGCUUAUCUUUUAAACUGAUUUAUCUCAGGCUUUAUGCUUAGGGAGCAGCUGAAACUCACAGGAAAAAUACAAAGAGCAAACCUGGGUAUUUUUUUAAAUUAUUGUCAGAGAACAGAUGCUGUGGCAGGUGCUACUGGUAAGAUAUUAUAAUCAAACAGGCAAAAGAUAUGUAGAAUUUUAUUUUUCCAUCUUAGGACAGGGCUCUCAAUAUGCUGAUUCAUUCAUGUGGUUAAGGACAAAUUAGUAUUUCAGAAAUUUGCCCACAGUCCAUGAGAUAGUGAUAUGUGACAAAAUUUUAUGUGUAUUUCCCUAUUGCAGAUUCAUCUGGGAGAAAUGAUAUUUGCCUCAUAAUUAAAUCCUUCUUACAUUACAUUUAAUGCUGUAGUGAAACAGCAAUUGCUCUCUGCUUUUGAAGAAGAGGGGAUAUUAAAUUAUUCAAAUGAAUCUCAGUAUCCAAAAAAGUGAUUGGUUUUGAUAAAUUCCUGUGUUGUGAUUACAAAUAAAAUAUUUAAGUUUUUUGUUUGUGCACUUGUAUUAGGGCUGGUGCAACAAUUUCUCCCUAAAUUGCUUAUAUCUCAAAUAUUCUUUUUGGCUUAGCCUUUUUUGUUAUUCUUGGGACCAAAAAUAUACCCGUAAGUUCCUUUUUAAAGACCCUUUUGACUAAUUUUCAAACUCUCAGUUGUCAUAUUUUAGCAAACUGUUGAGAGUGGGAUUUAAUCUUGUUCUUCUUCACAGACAAUCAGCUGUGUACCAGGCCUUAGUUCUUUCCGUGGGUUGCUCAGGUACCUGGUCUACACUGUGGGCUAGGCCGAUAUCUGGUCCACAUCUGGUCUCUGGGGCUGCCACUGAAUCUUCUUGACUUUGGAAAGAAGUAUGUCUCAGUUUUUAAAGCAAGACUAUUACCUGGAAAGGUUGUUAGAAAAUUUUAUUGAUUUAGAAAUGUAUUUGGCCAGGCGCAGUGGCUCACUCCUGUAAUCCCAGCAUUUUGAAGGCCGAGGCUGGAAGAUUGCUUGAGCUCAGCUGGCUCAACAUCACGGCAAAACCCCGUCUCUACAUAACAAUAUAAAACAAUUAGCCGGGCAUAGUGGCACAAGCCUGUGCUUCUAGCUACUCAGGAGGCUGAGGCGGGAGAAUUGCUUGAGCUGGGACGCAGAGGUUGCAGUGAGCCGAGACUGCACCACUACACUCCAAUCUAGGCAACAGAACCCGUCUCAAAAUGAAACAAAACAACAAAAAAUAUAAUUUCUAGUAUGGCUGAAUCAGUGUUCGUUCAGUGAAAGUGCUAAGCAUUUUGAUGUUAAUUUUGAAGGUGUAUUCACCUUCAUUUUAUCCAGGCUUUUAUGUUUCAAAGCGUUUCUUUCAGAUUUAUAGUGGUGAUAUUUUAAAAAGAUGAAUGAUUCUUAUGAACAGACUUCAUGCUACAGUUCUUGUUCCAAAAUGAUACCCACAAUUUCUCUGGGCCAACUGAAUUUGAAGUUGAAGCCUGUUAGUAAUUUUCUUUCUUCCAACAUGCCUUUGGGUUGAUGGAAAUGCUCAGGGUGACAUCUCCUCAAAAGUGGAGUUGGAGCUCUUCUUGGGGGAACACUGAAAUAUCUUUGAAGGCGAGGCAAUUCCCUCACUUUCAUUGGUCCAUUUAUCUGACUGGAAGAGAGCUAAGAGAAAAACUGAUUCAAUCAUCAGUUAUGAAGUAGAAGAAACACAAGGCUUAUAAUCAAGCUAUCCUUAUUCAGACAUAUUUGCCACUUCUUAGCAGUGCAACUUAGACUUUCUGAGACCAACUUUCCUAUACCAAAGAAUGAAGACCUGGCAGAGUUAUUUUUAAAUAGUAAGUACAAUAACCCGCAAAAUCUCUGGCAGUCGUUAAGAAGUGGGAACUUUUACCUAUUUUGUUCCUAUUCUUUGAGUCUCACCUCAUUUAUAAAAUGGAGAAAAUAAUAAUCGCCUUCUGGGGUUAUGGUGAGACUUAAAGGGAAUAUAGCCUUACCCAUGGUUAGAGAGUUAUCUAAAAAGUAAGUCUUCCAAAAACAACAACAACAAAAACCUGUUUAGCUGAUCCUCCUACUUCCUGCUUCACAGACAAGCACAUUGUGGUUGGGCAGAGGUAGGCUUGGACACAGACACACUGACCAGUACUCUUCACUAUGUUCUUUUUACUGACUAUUUGCAUAUUCUAGAUAUUCUGGCUUGGGGAGUUGACUAAAUUUUGAAGCAUAAAUUGAGCAGAGUGAAUAUAAUACUAGACUUCCACAAUGUCAAGACUCAUUUGGAAAUGGCUCCCUGAACAUUCAGAUUUACCAGAAGAAAAAAAUCAACGUGCUGAAUAUAUUAAACUGGAUUUUAACUUAAAAAACAUCUUUAAAUGUAAUUUUAAACAACUGUUUCAAGUUGAACAAAACCAUUCUUUUCGGUUAUCUUGUUAUUUUUUGAGUGUUGUUGGUAUUAGUUCAUAUAAGAAUUUUGUCUUAGUGAGUUCUUUACUAAGCAUCUCUUUACCCUGAAAAGCCAAAUAAUACCCUUAUUCCAUACGCCACCGAUACCAAAGUCAGAUAAAAGGGGUUUCAUUGCAAGGCUAAGAAAGAGCUAAUUUUCUAAAAUUGGAACAUUAUCUGUCAUGUGUUACUACUCUGUAAUUAUGACUAUUAUUCUCAUUGGGAAAAAAGAGAUAUUUCAGGAGGGGAAUAGAUUUUUAUAAGAGGCUUUUAAUAUAAAUGGGCAAUUACCUUAAAAUACUGACUUUCAUACUUAGCCACUAUGUUGUAGAUACAUUAUAUUAUAUUUGAUUUAAAUUUAGUAAAUUAUAUGCAUGUGCAAACUUAA